rnacentral:tRNA from 2 species
AGGCGGCUAGUUUAAGAAAAACCCUUGAUUUCGGCUCAAGCACUUGUGGUCCAAGCCCGCAGCCCUCUA